UUAUAAGUGCUUAUAUUAGCUGAACAAAUAAAGAAUGGAUUGAAAAAUUCAAAGAAUGCAAGCUCCAUGAAAACAAGAAUUUGUCUGACUUGUUCAAUAUUUUUACCCUUGGUGUCAAAUGCCUGGCAGAAUGGGAAACUAGGGAAAGCUCAGUAAAUCACAGGUCCAUAUACUUUCAGGAUGUGAAGUGGUCUCAAG